rnacentral:rRNA from 1 species
UACGUAGGGUGCAAGCGUUUGUCCGGAAUUAUUGGGCGUAAAGAGCUCGUAGGCGGCUUGUCGCGUCGACUGUGAAAACCCGCGGCUCAACUGCGGGCCUGCAGCCGAUACGGGCAGGCUAGAGUUCGGUAGGGGAGACUGGAAUUCCUGGUGUAGCAGUGAAAUGCGUAGAUAUCAGGAGGAAUACCGAUGGCGAAGGCAGAUCUCUGGGCCGUAACUGACGCUGAGGAGCGAAAGCAUGGGGAGCGAACAGG